UUUUCAUGGAGAGUUUGAUCCUGGCUCAGGACGAACGCUGGCGGCGUGCCUAAUACAUGCAAGUCGAGCGCGGGAAGCAGUCUGAUCCCUUCGGGGUGACGAUUGUGGAACGAGCGGCGGACGGG
rnacentral:rRNA from 1 species